rnacentral:misc_RNA from 1 species
GAUGAAGAAUGCAGCGAAAUGCGAUACGUGGUGUGAAUUGCAGAAUUCAGUGAAUCAUCGAAUCUUUGAACGCACAUUGCACCUCUCGGUAUUCCGGGAGGUAUGCCUGUUCGAUCGUCAUUUGUACCCUCAAGCUCUGCUUGGUGUUGGGUGUUUGUUCCGCCUCUGUGUGUGAACUCGCCUCAAAACAAUUGGCAGCCGGCGUACUUGUUUCGGAGCGCAGCACAUUUUGCGAUCCAGAUCAACGUACAGCGGCAUCCAAGAAGCCUUAUUUAACGCUCUUGACCUCGGAUCAGGUAGGGAUACCCGCUGAACUUAAGCAUAUCAAUAAGCGGAGGA